rnacentral:rRNA from 1 species
ACUCUGAUCAGCCAUGCCGCGUGCAGGAAGACUGCCCUAUGGGUUGUAAACUGCUUUUAUACAGGAAGAAACCUUUCCACGUGUGGGGAGCUGACGGUACUGUAAGAAUAAGGAUCGGCUAACUCCGUGCCGGCAGCCGCGGUAAUACGGAGGAUCCAAGCGUUAUCCGGAAUCAUUGGGUUUAAAGGGUCCGUAGGUGGAUAAUUAAGUCAGAGGUGAAAGUUUGCGGCUCAACCGUAAAAUUGCCUUUGAUACUGGUUAUCUUGAAUCAUUGUGAAGUGGUUAGAAUAUGUAGUGUAGCGGUGAAAUGCAUAGAUAUUACAUAGAAUACCAAUUGCGAAGGCAGAUCACUAACAAUGUAUUGACACUGAUGGACGAAAGCGUGGGGAGCGAACGGGAUUAGAUACCCCGGUAGUCCACGCCGUAAACGAUGGUCACUAGCUGUUCGGACUUCGGUCUGAGUGGCUAAGCGAAAGUGAUAAGUGACCCACCUGGGGAGUACGUUCGCAAGAAUGAAACUCAAAGGAAUUGACGGGGGCCCGCACAAGCGGUGGAGCAUGUGGUUUAAUUCGAUGAUACGCGAGGAACCUUACCAGGGCUUAAAUGUAGAUUGCAUUAGCUAGAGAUAGCUAUUUCUUCGGACUAUCUACAAGGUGCUGCAUGGUUGUCGUCAGCUCGUGCCGUGAGGUGUCAGGUUAAGUCCUAUAACGAGCGCAACCCCUGUUGUUAGUUGCCAGCGAGUCAAGUCGGGAACUCUAACAAGACUGCCAGUGCAAACUGUGAGGAAGGUGGG